rnacentral:rRNA from 1 species
AGUGAACGCUGGCGGUAGGCCUAACACAUGCAAGUCGAACGGCAGCACAGUAAGAGCUUGCUCUUACGGGUGACGAGUGGCGGACGGGUGAGGAAUACAUCGGAAUCUACUUUUUCGUGGGGGAUAACGUAGGGAAACUUACGCUAAUACCGCAUACGACCUACGGGUGAAAGCAGUGGAUCUUCGCACCUUGCGCGAUUGAAUGAGCCGAUGUCGGAUUAGCUAGUUGGCGGGGUAAAGGCCCACCAAGGCGACGAUCCGUAGCUGGUCUGAGAGGAUGAUCAGCCACACUGGAACUGAGACACGGUCCAGACUCCUACGGGAGGCAGCAGUGGGGAAUAUUGGACAAAGGGCGCAAGCCUGAUCCAGCCAUACCGCGUGGGUGAAGAAGGCCUUCGGGUUGUAAAGCCCUUUUGUUGGGAAAGAAAAGCAGCAGGUUAAUACCCCGCUGUUCUGACGGUACCCAAAGAAUAAGCACCGGCUAACUUCGUG